rnacentral:tRNA from 2 species
GGCGGACGUAGCCAAGUGGAUUAA